rnacentral:rRNA from 1 species
UACAGAGGGUGCGAGCGUUAAUCGGAAUUACUGGGCGUAAAGCGUGCGUAGACGGUUAUUUAAGUCGGAUGUGAAAGCCCCGGGCUCAACCUGGGAAUUGCAUUCGAGACUGAAUAGCUAGGGUGCGGUAGAGGGAAGCGGAAUUUCCGGUGUAGCGGUGAAAUGCGUAGAUAUCGGAAGGAACAUCAGUGGCGAAAGCGGCUUCCUGGACCAGCACCGACGCUCAGGCACGAAAGCGUGGGGAGCAAACAGG